AACUAAGGUUAUACGUAAGUCCUUAAUUCCCAAUUAAGGGUUGGAGGUUGUACCUCGGCCUUACACCGUUGUACGGCUUACAACCUGCUUUCUGAAUAUGGCCCCUGGGACAGAACUUCUGCUGUUCUGUUGCCCACGUAAUGCUUGGACACCGUUAUAGAUCUUUCCCCUGGAGAAGAGUGACUCAGAAUCGUGGUGGUUCAACAAAUGAUUCGUGUUUCGGUGUCAGCGCAUCGAGACAGCGGGUCGGCGAUGAGCACACUGGCGAUUGGACUUCUUGAAGGGAAGGACGCGUGCGGGAGGGUUCUGGUGUGAGCUGUUGAUUCGACGCGAAGCAAAAGAACAUUUCUCGCGAUGGCCACAAGUACCCCCCUCGCCGCGCCUUCCCCCCGUGACCAACCUUGUCGAGCAGCGUGGUCAGCACGACGCCCUCGUCCUCGCGUGUGGCGUCCGGCGCCGCCACGAACACGGGCUCGCUCACCAGCCGCCCCUCCUCGUGCCACAGCUGCGUCUCCCCCGUCCUCACGUUGAUCUUCACCAGCUGCAAGAUGGAGUGGGCGUCUGGUGGCUACUUGCCCCUAACCAGGGAGAGGGAACCAUAGACACUGAUGGUCUUCUGCUGCCGCUGUUGCUACUGUUGUUACUACUACUAUUGCUGCUGCUCUGAUAAGGUUCUUCACAGAGGGCCCAGCCAAGG